rnacentral:rRNA from 1 species
GACGAGGGGUCCUAGCGUUGUUCGGAAUUACUGGGCGUAAAGCGUGCGCAGGCGGCUUUGCAAGACAGAUGUGAAAUCCCCGGGCUCAACCUGGGAACUGCAUUUGUGACUGCAAGGCUGGAGUACGGCAGAGGGGGAUGGAAUUCCGCGUGUAGCAGUGAAAUGCGUAGAUAUGCGGAGGAACACCGAUGGCGAAGGCAAUCCCCUGGGCCUGUACUGACGCUCAUGCACGAAAGCGUGGGGAGCAAACAGG